GUCUCCGUGGCGCAAUGGUAGCGCGUUGGACUUCUACCACCUCUGAGCGGUCAUCCAAAGGCUGCGGGUUCGAGCCCCGCCGGAGAUG